UCGGGGAACGAUAACGGCGUCGAGCGGCGGACGGGUGAGUAAUGCCUAGGAAAUUGCCCUGAUGUGGGGGAUAACCAUUGGAAACGAUGGCUAAUACCGCAUAAUGCCUACGGGCCAAAGAGGGGGACCUUCGGGCCUCUCGCGUCAGGAUAUGCCUAGGUGGGAUUAGCUAGUUGGUGAGGUAAGGGCUCACCAAGGCGACGAUCCCUAGCUGGUCUGAGAGGAUGAUCAGCCACACUGGAACUGAGACACGGUCCAGACUCCUACGGGAGGCAGCAGUGGGGAAUAUUGCACAAUGGGCGCAAGCCUGAUGCAGCCAUGCCGCGUGUGUGAAGAAGGCCUUCGGGUUGUAAAGCACUUUCAGUCGUGAGGAAGGUAGUGUAGUUAAUAGCUGCAUUAUUUGACGUUAGCGACAGAAGAAGCACCGGCUAACUCCGUGCCAGCAGCCGCGGUAAUACGGAGGGUGCGAGCGUUAAUCGGAAUUACUGGGCGUAAAGCGCAUGCAGGUGGUUUGUUAAGUCAGAUGUGAAAGCCCGGGGCUCAACCUCGGAAUUGCAUUUGAAACUGGCAGACUAGAGUACUGUAGAGGGGGGUAGAAUU
rnacentral:rRNA from 1 species